GACACAGACAGGGGCAGAGCAGCAACGGACGUUCUCUUUUUACAAAGAUGAGUUUGCAACCUUCAUCCGAGACACUUGAAAUGGAACAAAUCAUCACAAUUGAAGAUCCAUGUAGUGACCCAUUGUUUUGUAAACCAAAACCAGUAAGUGUAUUGACAAAUAAUUUGCCUUCUGAAAUAGAUUGCCGAAACCAUUCRUUGAUCGCUUCAUAGAUUGCAUGCGCYGAAAUUGAAAGGAUUGAUGGG